AGUACGUGAAGGAUUGCAAAUUAUGUCCUCAGAACUGGAAGUUAUAUAAGGGCAAAUGCUACUGGGUAUCUCAAGAAAGAAAAAGCUGGACUCAGAGUCAAGAUGACUGCAAGGCAAAGAACUCUACACAACCUGUGAUACAGGAUGUGGAUGAGAAGGCAUUCAUAAAAAACAUUACCCAAAAAUCAACUUCUUAUUGGCUGGGGCUAGUAGCCGAGUAUUCUGAAAGGUGGAUCUGGAAAUGGACUGAUGGAUCCCCCUUAAAAGAAAAACUGUUUGCUGUAUCAGGCCCAGCUGGAAAUAACAGUUGUAUAAUGACAAAGGAUGGUGAGGUCAGCUCCGAAGAUUGCAGUUCUCUUUAUGCCUGGGUCUGCAUGAAAACAGCUUUCACCUUAUAAACAAACACAUUGGAAAUUACAGUCACUGCAAUCUGCGGAAGGAGGUGGCUAUUCGUUUAACAUGCACCCUGUACCAGCGCCCUACAGCCCACAGAUGUUUUCUGUCUUCAGAUGAUUCCUUAACUCACAUGAUGAUGCGGCCUACCAUUUGUAGAAGUUUAUGCCAAAUUAAACAUCUCUGUCUAAGUUA